rnacentral:lncRNA from 1 species
CGGAAUUGAUUCAAGUUAGAGCUGCAUGAAUGAAAGCUAAGUAUUCUGUGUUCCUGUCGUUGUUGGUAUAUGAUUAUUUGCUUUGUUUCCUUUAAGAUUUUAGUUGUUUUCCACAAGUAUGAUAAGUAGUCUUCUUUGUUUGUUAUACUCAAUGAUUCUUCGGGGUAUUACUGGUUGGACUACAUCUUCUAUAAUGGUCUGAUGUUAUAUUUUGCCUUUUGACUAGUCAGUUUGUUUUCACCACUGAAGAUUUACAUGGCUCGUAGUUUCAUUUCUGAAAUUUACAUGUCUCGUUGAUCUUCAUCUUUUGAUUUUCAUUUUUUGUCACCCUGAGAUCCUGAUUAGUUUUGGUAAAUGUUUAUCUUUUGGAUCCUACUUGCAUUGCGUCAUGAUUCUGAGGAGUUGUUUUUCAUCUUAGAGUGUUCAUUCUUGUUUAUCAUUCUUCUAG